rnacentral:tRNA from 1 species
GGGGGUGUAGCUCAGCUGGGAGAGCACCUGCUUUGCAAGCAGGGGGUCAGCGGUUCGAAUCCGCUCAUCUCCACCA